rnacentral:rRNA from 1 species
UGGGGAAUUUUGGACAAUGGGCGCAAGCCUGAUCCAGCUAUUCCGCGUGUGGGAUGAAGGCCCUCGGGUUGUAAACCACUUUUGUAGAGAACGAAAAGACACCUUUUAAUAAAGGGUGUUGCUGACGGUACUCUAAGAAUAAGCACCGGCUAACUACGUGCC